UACGUUCCCGGGUCUUGUACACACCGCCCGUCACACCAUGGGAGCGGGUUUUACCAGAAGUAGGUAGCCUAACCGUAAGGAGGGCGCUUACCACGGUAGGAUUCGUGACUGGGGUGAAGUCGUAACAAGGUACCC
rnacentral:rRNA from 1 species